AAAAAGGUACGGUAACAAAUUCUUGGUUCCCUAGAUCCCUGAGCCUGACCAGAAGAAGUGCGCAACACAGCGCCGACAGAGUAGAUCCCGCCGACCACCUCCCCUACUUCCGGUCUCCUUCUCCCCUGUCGACGCCACUUUAAAGGCUGGAAAUUCUAGGGAGAAUUAUAACCAAUGUGAGCUUGCCAUGGAGAGGCAUCCAAUGCUUUUGGUAUUAAAGCAAUAGAGCUUGAAGAGUGGAAAUUCUCGAUCCAUUUUGCCGGCUGGAGGAGAAGAAACAAAACGAUGUCGUCUGUUGGAACCUCAAAGGGCUUGUUAGAAGUCGCAAAAUUCGCAGUGUACGUCACUGUUCCGAUUGGUCUUAUGUACUUCUUCGCCAACAACACCAAGAAUCUCCAGAAAUUCAUGGGCACUCGUGAAUAUAUUGUGUAUCCUCCAGAAGGACCCCGACCUCCAUCACCAGAGGAAUUGAGAGAGAUGGCGCGAGAAGUGGGUCGCAAGAGAGAGAGGGAGAGAAACCUCAAAAACUGAAGGAGAUGAGAUGAAUGUGGGAUUUGUUGGUGGGUGGAUGUACAUAAGCAAAAUCAGUUGUUUUACUAUAUGCAAGAAGAAGAAGAAGAAGAAGAAAGAAUAAAUGGCAGCUAUUUGAUGAAGCUACAGCCUCAGAUUAUUAUUAGAUGUGUUUGUGAGGUUGAUGUCCCAAUGUUUGUCUAACAUCCCAAAAUGAAACAUAACUGCCCUGGGACUGUUGGAUGAUUGGUGUUUAUAUACCUCAGCCUCAGGCUUAGAUUUGGAGAAGACUUUAUAAUAUGAUCUGAAUGUUGGAGUUAAUUAAUUUACAAUAUGGAUCAAGGUGCAUGGUAUGGUAUUAUACGCACUCAACACAUCCAUAUUUUUCUUA